CGGGUACUCGAGUGGCGAACGGGUGAGUAACACGUGGGUGAUCUGCCCUGCACUUCGGGAUAAGCUUGGGAAACUGGGUCUAAUACCGGAUAGGAGCCAUCUUUAGUGUGGUGGUUGGAAAGUUUUUUCGGUGUAGGAUGAGCUCGCGGCCUAUCAGCUUGUUGGUGGGGUAAUGGCCUACCAAGGCGGCGACGGGUAGCCGGCCUGAGAGGGUGUACGGCCACAUUGGGACUGAGAUACGGCCCAG
rnacentral:rRNA from 1 species